rfam:Piloderma croceum F 1598 unplaced genomic scaffold scaffold_00053, whole genome shotgun sequence.
GGCCGCCUGGCGAAAUGGCAUCGCGUCUGACUACGAUUGAUUCCUAAUCAGGAGAUUGCAGGUUCGACCCCUGCGGUGGUCA